GAUUACAUCUUUUCCAAAAGGCAAACUAAGAUUUAAGUAUGUGAAAUUGACCUAAAAAAAUAAUUUGAAGUCUCCUCCACUCUUUGUUUGCAGUCCCAACAAGACAGAGGACAAGUGCUAUGGAACAAGAGUUUAUCAUCCCUAGAAGUGUUUGAGUGGAAUUUGAAAGACAAUUCAUUGAGGAUGCCAUAGAUAAAAUUCACUCUUCUGUGAGGGGUUUGGACUAGAUUACAGAUCAGAUAUCACAUCUUCAAGGAAUUCUCCCAUCUAUCCUCCCAACAGCUAGGUAACAUCUUCCCCUCCUUGAAUUUACUUUUUUUGAAUAUAUAUUUCAUACUUACCUCCAACUUCCUUGUAUCAUCAAGAUUUGUGCUAUUUCCCUUCCACUUAGAAUGUCAGUUCUUUGAGAGUAUUGCCAGUUUUGUACUCCAAUUACCUAUCACAGGGCUUUUUACAGAAUUCAAUUCUGCAAGAAUUCCUAG
rnacentral:lncRNA from 1 species